AGUUUUCAGCAGUGUUCAGAGUAGGUUUAGGAGAAGUAGAAGAGAGGUGUCAUCACACGUGUGUGUGCGUGACAAGAUGAGAGGUGUCAAGGAUGAUGAGAAUUGGACUGACACAUUUAAAGUGAAGCUAUUUUUUUUUUCCACUAAGAUAAGAAAAGGAAGAAGAGAAAACAGAACUAAUAGAUAGAUUGAGAAGAUGUGAUGAGGAUGCGUGAC
ensembl:ncRNA F12F3.5 ncRNA